GUGGGGAAUAUUGGGCAAUGGGCGCAAGCCUGACCCAGCAACGCCGCGUGAAGGAAGAAGGCUUUCGGGUUGUAAACUUCUUUUCUCAGGGACGAACAGAUGACGGUACCUGAGGAAUAAGCCACGGCUAACUACGUGCC
rnacentral:rRNA from 1 species